UGAACCCGUAAAGCAGUCGGAUCAUGCUCUCUUGUGUGCCAUCGCUAAUCAACCUAUUACGGUGGGUUUGGAUGCAACACCACUUCAAUUUUAUCAGGGCGGGAUUAUUGAUGGUGAAAGUUGCCCCAUGGGAACUCAACCAAAUCAUGCAGUUUUGAUCGUGGGAUAUGACUCAAAAGAUGGCAAAGAUUAUUGGAUUGUAAAGAACUCAUGGGGAGAAGAUUGGGGAAUGAACGGAUACUUCUUGAUUCAAAGGAAUUCAAAAGCACCAAAUGGAGUUUGCUCUAUUAAUACUGCCGCUUCAUACCCAACCAUAUAGACUAGUACCACUAAGUUGCCGUCAAUUUCUGAUUUGGCGUUGUUAUGAACUCUAAGUAUGUCUACCCUAAAUUUUAAAUAAAGAGUCAGAAACUAUUGGUUAUAAUAUAUUUAUGUAUUGACCAUCAGAAUCCUACUCAGAUUUAUCAAUUUUACUUUU